UGGUUCUGGCAUCGAUGAAGAACGCAGCGAAAUGCGAUAAGUAAUGUGAAUUGCAGAAUUCAGUGAAUCAUCGAAUCUUUGAACGCACAUUGCGCCCGCCAGCAUUCUGGCGGGCAUGCCUGUUCGAGCGUCAUUUCAACCCUCAAGCCCCUCCGGGUUUGGCGUUGGGGAUCGGCCCCGCCUCGGCGGCCGGCCCCGAAAUCCAGUGGCGGCCUCGCCGUAGCAUCCUCUGCGUAGUAGAAACACCUCGCACUGGGACGCGGCGCGGCCACGCCGUAAAACAGACAAAUUCUGAAAGGUUGACCUCGGAUCAGGUAGGAAUACCCGCUGA
rnacentral:misc_RNA from 1 species